rnacentral:rRNA from 1 species
GAUAUGGCUCAGGAUGAACGCUAGCUACAGGCUUAACACAUGCAAGUCGAGGGGCAUCAUGGAGUUUGCUUGCAAACUCUGAUGGCGACCGGCGCACGGGUGAGUAACGCGUAUCCAACCUUCCCUAUAGUAGAGGAUAGCCCGGCGAAAGUCGGAUUAAUACUCUAUGUUUUCCGUUGCAGACAUCUAAGAUGGAACAAAGGCUUGCCGCUAUAGGAUGGGGAUGCGUCUGAUUAGGUAGUCGGCGGGGUAACGGCCCACCGAGCCAUCGAUCAGUAGGGGUUCUGAGAGGAAGGUCCCCCACAUUGGAACUGAGACACGGUCCAAACUCCUACGGGAGGCAGCAGUGAGGAAUAUUGGUCAAUGGGCGAGAGCCUGAACCAGCCAAGUAAGCGUGCAGGACGACGGCCCUAUGGGUUGUAAACUGCUUUUAUGCGGGGAUAAAGUUCACUACGUGUAGUGUUUUCGUAGGUACCGCAUGAAUAAGGACCGGCUAAUUCCGUGCCAGCCGCCGC